UACGUAGGGUGCAAGCGUUGUCCGGAAUUAUUGGGCGUAAAGAGCUCGUAGGCGGCUUGUUACGUCGACUGUGAAAACCCGGGGCUCAACUCCGGGCCUGCAGUCGAUACGGGCUGGCUUGAGUGCGGUAGGGGAGACUGGAAUUCCUGGUGUAGCGGUGAAAUGCGCAGAUAUCAGGAGGAACACCGGUGGCGAAGGCGGGUCUCUGGGCCGUAACUGACGCUGAGGAGCGAAAGCGUGGGGAGCGAACAGG
rnacentral:rRNA from 1 species